AGCAGUGUAGCACAGUGGUUAAGGAGCAGGGCUCGUGACCGAAAGGUUGCUGGUUCGAUUCCGCGCUGGGCACUGCUG